rnacentral:lncRNA from 10 species
CUCCAGCCUGGCGACAGAACGAGACUCCGUCUCAAAAAAAAAAAAAAAAAAAAAAAAAAAAAAAAAAAAAGAAAAGAAAAAAGCAUAUCUGCCAGCCAAGAAUCAGUUUUCAGCUUAAAACACAAUAAUACAGACCAAAUUUAGCUCCUGUUCCCUGAACCAGUGGCAAAAGCAGCUAGUGCACGUGCCCAGGAAGCCACAUGCAGCAUGUUUAUCCCACUAUCCAGCUCUGUGGUGCUUUACUGGUUCUACACGUUAGGAUUACAGAUCCUUGUAGGAAUAGCUUCUGCGCUUUAAUGAUUUCUUAAGAAAAAAUAAAACAAGAUCUAGAUCAUAGACUCCCAUCAGAGAGCUUACUGGGAGAAAGAGCUGUAUCGUGAAUUAUGAAGAUUAAAGGGGCAUCCAACAAGGGGAAAAAUUAAACUAUUAUCUCGUUACUUUGGUAAAUUAAAAUUGCCAGGCCUAGGCAAAGAUCUGACUGGCCAGAGUGAAUUUUGGAGUGAAAUUUUAUGGUUAUGUCUUUUAAAAGCCAUGUAAAUCAGCAAGCGUAAAGCUGACAGGACCUUGCAGGCUUCAGCAAGAACACACUGUCCCUCUCAUUUAUUUAAAAGAAUGCUGCCCCUGCUCAAAGGCCUGCAGUGAGCCAUGCCAAUGUGGUUUGGCUGGACUGUGAGUGCUUGAUGCAGUCUGAUAGGAGGAUGGGGGUGGCGCAGAGAACAUUGAAAUCAGAAAGGAUUCUGCUCUGUAGAGACAAAGGAAACACAGAGACAUAGACAUGGAUCUGGGAAAUACACCUUUUGCUACUCGUUCAGUUUUAGCAAGGAGGUUUCUUGCAUGGCUAAGCAAAACUUAAACUUCCUCUGAGAAUUACAGGAAUUACAGGACCUGACAAAGCUAUGAAGAUUAAAACCUAUAGGAAGAAAAUCUGAACCAGAAACAGUAUGGCAGAAUUGGGAUCUGACUCACAGAGGGAAGAACUUAUAAUUCUUCACAGGUCACAUAGAAGCAUGAGAAUUUGGGUUCAAGCAAGAGAAACAUUUUGCACUGUGCUGGGGGAUUCUACCCACAUAAGUCAGCAUGUUACUUGCUAGAUAAAAGAGCAAUGAAUGGAGUACUUCAUUUUAAAUGCCGCAACUCAGCAAGAAAAAAAAAGUGUCUGGUAUCUUCCUGAACAACUACCUGGUAUUAUACAGACGCCUAAAUACCUGACGUGUGACAGCAAAUGCCUGUUCCCAUGGAGCUGCUGCUUCUGAGAAAGCUUGAAACAGACAAAGAAUAAGGUAGAAAUGACCUCCUCACUAGAGAUGAAAAGAAGCUGUCCUGGUGAGGAAAUUGGAUCCCAGCUUUUGCCGCUAAGAUUCUUCUCUUCUGCCUCUGGUUUUCUUUAUUGUUCACCCCCAGAAGCAAUCGCUCUCUCACAAGGCAACACACGCAAUAGAGUGAACAGUGAUUCUACAGUCUGAUUCUGGAAAAGGCGACCACAGUGGAAAGAGUGAUCCACACAAGUAUAGGGCCUCCUGAUUAAAACACUAAGAUUUCAUCUCACGCUGUGCCUUUAUACUGUUGAGAUACUAAAGAGGACACUAAAGAUCAAAGUGCUACUUUACAACAUUUUGAAGAAAACAACUGCUACCUGUGUAUUAGUUUGUGCAGAUGUGUUACACAGCUUAGCUGUGUCUGUACCAGUUUAUUAGAAUCAAAGUAUUUUUAAAGUACCUAAGGCCAGGCACAGUGGCUCACACCUGUAAUCCCAGCACUUUGGGAGGCUGAGGCAAGUGGAUCACUUGAGAUCAGGAAUUCAAGACCAGCCUGGCCAACAUGGUGAAACCCCAUCUCUACUAAAAAUACAAAAAUUAGCCAGGCAUGGUGUCACAUGCCUGUAAUCCCAGUGACUCAAGAGGCUGAGGUAUGAGAAUCAAUCGUUUGAACUCAGAAGGAGAGGUUGCAGUGAGUGGAGAUAGCAACACUGUACUCCAGCCUGGGUGACAGAGUGAGAUCCAGUCUCAAAAAAAAAAAAAAAAAAAAAAAAAGUACCUAAAACUUGUGAUAUGGUUUGGCCUUGUCCCCACCCAAAUCUCAUAUUGAAUUGAAUUAUGGGGAGAGGUCUUUCCUGCGCUGUUCUUAUGAUAGUGAAUGAGUUUCAUGAGAUCUGAUGGUUUUAAAAAUGGGAGUUUCCCUGCACAAGCUCUCUUUUGUUGCCUGCUGCCAUCCACGUAAGAUGUGACUUGCUCCUCUUUACCUUCCACCAUGAUUUUGAGGCCUCCCCAGUCCUGUGGAACUGUAAGUUCAAUAAACCUCUUUCUUUUGUAAAUUGUCCAGUCUCGGGUAUGUCUUUAUCAGCAGCAUGAAAACAGAGUAAUACAGCAUGUGAGAUACAAUGCUGAGCACUGAAGAAACAAGGAUGGCACAGCCCCUGACUUCCAGAAGCUCACACUUUAGAAAAGCAAGUGUAUUAAUAACUACUUAUGUAUAACAUUUGUGUUAUUUAGAAAAUGCAAUAAGGGCACAGAUGAAGAGCAAAGUACAGUGGUAAAGAAGAGAGAGUUUGUGAGAAAGGUACAGGAGAAAAGACAUUUAUGCUGGGCUUCAAAGGAUGAGCUGACAUUUCAAUUCCCAUCCUUAGACAAAGCUAGGAAAGGCAUUUCAGCAGAAGCAAACUGAAUAAAGCCCUCGAGACCUGGAAGUGCAUGUCAUGCCCAAGAACCAUGUAAACCUGAAAGCUUUGAGAGCUAGAUAAUAUUUCACCAACUGUGGUCAUCAGAAUCACCAAUAUUUGGGGUGUUUGUUUAAUUUUUUAGCUUCCUAAACCCUAGCACAAGCCCAAUGAAGGUGGGAAGAGGAAUCUGUAUUUUAGAAGCAACCCUUUCCCCUCCAAAUUCUUCAUAGAGUGAUUGUGAUGAAUAAAGGUUGAGGACCAUCUGGUUUAGGCUGUUCUAGGCAGGGUGGAGAUGUAGGGAAGGACACACAAUAACCCUGUUACUCGGUUGUGCUGUGGUUAUGUGCCUAUACACUAUCAGACAGACUGGUCAAUUUUGUUCCAAAUAUGUUCAGUGUUAAACAGAACCCAGUAUUGUAAACUGUAAUUACAAAUUAUAAAACUUCUGUAAACAGAAGCCUACUUCUCAUACACUGAAAGAACCAAAAGGCAAGAUGCAACUGAGACCGUUUAAAAAUGGUGAAAUGUUUUCCAGACUCCAGCUACAAGGAGAAUCCUCUUUGUAAUGCUGAGUAUCAUGAUUAAAAUCUCCCACUGCUCAGCAGCACAAAACUGUCUCAAGGAGUCUCCAAAGAGAGUCAUCUCAGAGUAUCUCACAGCAGUCCUUCCAUCCUCAAGCUUGGUUGUAUCUCUACACAGGCCUACAUGAAAGCAGAGACACUGCAAACAAGACAGGGCAGAGAGCAAGCCGGGAAGUUGGUGAACUUGGAAUUUGAUGAGCUCCUUGUCUGAAACAUGAAGCUCAGACCAGAAGAACUGGAUGCUCUAGAGAGAGAUGGACCUCUCCUCAAUGGGAAUAUCAACAUCAGUACAAAUUGAUGAUUCCAGUUAAGAAACAGACAACAGUAGUCAGAGCAGCACAUAAAGCCAGAAGGAGGCAAAAUAUUGGUAGCCACUCAGAGCUAUGCGCUUUCCCAACCUGUCCUCAGAGUGAACUGUUGCUAAUUUCAGAGCCAAGUAGUAGUCCUACUACCAACCAUCCCAAUAAUUUCACAUACCAACAUCCACAAUUAAGUUACUGGUUUAUAAACCAUAAACCACAAUUUAUCUAGGGUGUUGACUUAAUGUUUUUCAGCAAAGUUUUUUCCCUAUCUAAGGUAACAUUUCUCAUAUAAUGGUCAAGGGACCCCUACCUUGAGAUUGUUAAAAUGAAGAGACUUGGGUACCUUUCACAACUCUCUGAGGUUAGGGCCCAGGAAUCUGCAUUUUCACACACUCCCUCAGAGCAUUCUCUCUCACAAGGACUUUCCCUUCAGGGAACUCCUGUUACACUCAGUACUGAAUAGUGUAAGAGUAUUUUUGUUUUCCAUUAGAAUUUUGCUAGUGGAACUUUGAUUGGCAAUAGGAAGUGGCUGGAAUAACAUAGGGAUUUUGGUCUGCAUUGCUAUCUAACUGCCUGGGUUCCCUGUGACAUGUCUCUCAGGUGUCAGGUAUCUCUAGCUCUCAGGUAUCUCUAGCUCAGCAACUUUCCCACCCUCAUCAACCUUCCCAUCCUCAAUCCACCCAACCCCACUCUCCCACAUUAAAAUCAAAGAACUUCUACUGUAAAGUCCCUGGUUAAACAAUCAUCUUCAGGUACUGUCAAAGUAAGAUAACUAAACCAGGCUCCCUCGUUGGUACCAAUCAGAUUGGGUAGGAACUGGUAUGGACAUCAAACAGAAUUGGCACAUAACCAGGUACAGUUGCAUGCAGGCCAGCAUGAAAGUAUCAGAAUAUUUGGUUAAUUGAAUUAAAAGAACCAUUGAGUUAUUCUGACAUUGUGAAAACAUAGUCAAAAUUCAGCUCUUUACAAUGCUUUUGCAUCAUUGGAGUUGAGUGCAUCAGGGAGACUGAUAAAUCAUACAUGGCUCAUAAAGACUAAGAGCAAAUCAUAAAAUAAUAGAGCUGGAAGGGAACUGAAAGAUGACCCGGUCUGGGUUUUAUUUUGCAAAUGAAACAACCAGAGCCUGCAGAGGCCUAGUGACCAAGGUCAUACAGCUCGUUAGUGGCUGAGAAUCACAAUGUCCUAACUUCUGGCUGAGGGUUUUUUUCUAUGAUGCCUCCCCUGAGACUAAAAUAAAUCCC